GGGCGGGUAGCUCAGUUGGUUAGAGCGCCUCCCUUACAAGGAGGAGGCCGUGGGUUCGAGUCCCACCCCGCCCA
rnacentral:tRNA from 1 species